AAACUUGAUGCAGGUCAACCCUGCACCCGCCUUCCGCGCCCGGCUCCGGGCGCCAUUGACUCCGGUCAAUUUUCCUCCUCCUCGCAUUGGUUACCUUGCACCCAUCGGAUGACGGCACAUCAAGGGAGGAGCCGACAUGUUCUUCGACAACGUGGUUAUCGCCGGGGUGGUAACAGUCGGGUUGAUGUUGGCCUUCUUCGCCGGUCUGGGCAUUUUCAUCUGGAAGGACUCGAAAAAGCGCAACCAGCGCUGAUCCUUCCCGAUACACGAGCACGCAAGGCAUUUAGGGCGACUUCGGUCGCCCAUU
rnacentral:sRNA from 1 species